rnacentral:sRNA from 1 species
ACGUCAGAAAGGAGGUGAUCCUACAUAUGACAAAUUCUUGUAGAGACGAGGUGACUGCCGUCUAGGGUGCGGCGCUCGGGCGAUUCAUCCGGGUCAGCACCGCCCCUGGCGAAUCCACCCAGCUCACCGGGAGAGCCCCGGCCCCACGGGCCGGGGCUCUCUUGCUU